rnacentral:rRNA from 1 species
GUGGGGAAUAUUGGACAAUGGGCGAAAGCCUGAUCCAGCAAUGCCGCGUGAGUGAUGAAGGCCUUAGGGUUGUAAAGCUCUUUUACCCGGGAUGAUAAUGACAGUACCGGGAGAAUAAGCUCCGGCUAACUCCGUGCCAGCAGCCGCGGUAAUACGGAGGGAGCUAGCGUUGUUCGGAAUUACUGGGCGUAAAGCGCACGUAGGCGGCUAUUCAAGUCAGGGGUGAAAUCCCGGGGCUCAACCUCGGAACUGCCUUUGAAACUGGAUGGCUAGAAUCCUGGAGAGGCGAGUGGAAUUCCGAGUGUAGAGGUGAAAUUCGUAGAUAUUCGGAAGAACACCAGUGGCGAAGGCGACUCGCUGGACAGGUAUUGACGCUGAGGUGCGAAAGCGUGGGGAGCAAACAGGAUUAGAAACCCGGGUAGUCC